rnacentral:lncRNA from 1 species
UGCCUGUGACGCAAAUAUCCAUACAUACCGCACACGAAUUGUGCAGUGAGCUAAAAAAGAAAACAGAAAAGAAAAAAGCUACUACUUUAUUCUACUUAAAGUUGUCCUCUAUUCAAACUUUUAUCUCACUCUUCUCUCCUUCUGCACCAUAAUUUUCUUUCGAGCAAAGACAGGGAGUUCUGGAUGAUUCCAAUCUCCCCAAAUCCACAUCACAGCCUCCAAUUGAGGUUCAUUUAAGUCAGGUUGGAGCUGAGGGAGCCUGGGCUGGAACCGGCCAGGGUUUCAUCCAGCUCCUCCCCCAAAACACGCCCCCCAAAUCGGAGCCAGAGGAGAGCCCAGCCACAGAGGACUUCCACUCAAUGAGGGCAACCCCUGACUAAAGUCCAUGCCGACAACCAUUCAUCUCCUCCAACCCCCGCCCAGCACUAGACUGCGCUCCUAGCACCGCGCCUUCUUCCGGAGCCUCCUCCCCCGGGCUGGCUAGGGGUGAGCGCAGGGGUUAGUCAGUACGCACGUGACGCGCGAUGCCCACAUGACACGACCGUGGGCGGGGGAGGGGGACACGGAGUGAAGAAGGGGAAAAGUUACAGAAGACCCGUCAAAGCUCCCAAAGCAAUUUGUCCCUUCUUUUCUUCGCCAGCGGUGGCUCACGGAUCCCUAAGGGACAGCUGGGGACCCAGGCGCCCCCAGCCCAACCCCAGAAACGCUGGACGCAGUUCUCCGCUCACCCCACCACCUUCUCUUCCCAGACCCGCUGGUGAUGCCGCUGCACCCUAAAGUUGCUCCUUCCUUCUUUCCCUCCCUUCCUCCCAUUCUUUCUUUCUUUUCUUCCUUCCUCCCUUCCCCAAAAGCUCUUCAUCCGCUUCGGGUGAUGCCACUGACGCACAUUCAAUUUGCCCCAGCAGCUCUGAGGAGGUCAGACCAGGCCGAGCACCUUCCAAAGGGGAGGGUCUAACUGAGCAAACAAAGUUGCACGCCACACCACAACCUGCCCCUCCCCUCCCUUUAGCCCCCAAGUCGAAUCCCCGGCGAAACUCACUUGCACUGCGGGUGCCCUCUGGCCCCCACCCCAUCAUCGCGCAACACACCCCCUUCAACAGGCGCGCCCACCCUUUCAUUGCCCUGCGCCCCGAGCGGUCCCACCGCCCGGCAAAACACUGAGCAAGCGGCUGCGCUCACCUUGCUUGACACACUUGAGCCGGAGGGGGUCCUUGCAGUGUUUGAUCACGGCCAGCACGUCCCUGAUGGUGAGCCCCGCCACGGGGGUCUCGUUCACCUCCAGCAGCAGCUCCUCCGACACCAACUUGCUGCCGCUCUCAUAGGCCACCUUGCCGGGCUUCACCUCCCCCAGGUAGGGGAACUGUCCAUUCUCGGCGCCCCCCUUCAGUUCAAAGCCCAGCUGGCCCUCCGGGUUCCUGCCAAUGACACUCUCAUGGACUUUGCUAGUCCAGUGGCUUUUCUUUUUCAAGCUUUUGGACAUGGCAGUGGGGCGAGUCGCCUCAGUUCCUGGGCUCCUUGGGGUUAGGGGGGCUGGUGGUGAGAGAAUGAGGAUGGAGGAGCAAGGGGGCCCAGGGGGAAGAACAGCAGACUUUGCCUUCGCCCCCCUCUAUUCGGUGCUUUCCCUCUUCUUUGGAUGGAGUGUGGACGAGGAAGGGGGAGGAUGAGAGGGACGGCUGGGCAGAGGUAGGAGAGCUUGGAUGAGGUUGUGCUGUCCCUUGAAUGACACUCAAGGCUGUGGCCCCGCAGCAGAGGAAGCAGUGGUGGUGGCGUCGGCGGCGGCGGCGGCGGCAGCCGGAGCGAGCAGUAGCCGAGCUGUAAUGUCUUACAAUAACAGAAUGCAGGAGAGCACAUAUCAAUGAAGAAAAGACAAAAUGUACUUAUCCAUGAAGCUGAGGUUAAGAAACCAGUGUCUUCAAGAGCCAAGGACAGCACUGGGUCUGUGCAGAGUUGAGAGAUGGUGAUGACAUGUGGUUUCCAGCAUUCCUCACCCAGUCCAGGGACACUGUGGGUGUGCCCAGCUUAAGUCCAGUAACUGGAAAUACAAGCCCAAGUUCUGGAGAGUUUGAGCUGCAGAGAUAUAUGUGGGAACACUUUGAACCUUGACUCAUUGGCCAUAACCAGCAGAGUGGAAAAUACAAGAAGAGAAAAAAACAUUGAACUGCGAUUUUAUAACAUCCUUUACUCGGCAGAGAGAAGAGGAAACACCAGGAAAGAAAACUGUAUUACGAUGUGAAAACUUAACGUUGAGAAAUUCAGGCAUCUUGGGGUUAGUGAGGAGAAGUUUUAGGGGCUUAGAUUCUUCAAAACACAUGUACAGAAAUGCAUAUUUCAUCUGAUAUCAAAUGACAUUUAUAGUGCUAAUCUUUACCUCAAGACUUCACAUCUUUUGGUGAUUGCAUCUUUUAGGUUUAUAGCAGCUAAGUUUGCAUGAAAACACCAGGGCUGUUUCAUUUCAGUCAAGAAUUAAUGUUCAUUGAUUGUGCUUCUGCAUUUCACGUAACUAUUGUAGAAUUUGUUUUAGUUUUAUGAGGGAAUAAUUGGUCCAACUUCUAUAUAACUCAGGAAUUUACUCUCAAACAACACUGUCAAUUAGUUACUUAUCUCUCUGGAAAUGAUCUGGGAACAUGGAGAGGAAAGGGAGGAAGGGGCAAAAUCUGACCACUUAAAUCUAAGCAUAUUAGAUCAUUUUAUGCUAGAAAGUCCUGAAUGAUGUGACUUUUGUUCUUGUAAAACACCUCUUUCCAUAGAUUCAUGGCCCAAACAGUAUAUAAAGAGUGGGGAAGGAACUGCAUUUGCAAAUAGUUCAAGUCAUUGCUCCAUCUUAACUAUGCAGUUCACAAAGUGUGAAGAAAUUUGAUCAUCUCAAAAAAGAUAAUGGGAAAAAAUAUGUUUUGUUCUGUGACUUUAAAGUCUUGCAAUAUUUUACAUAAAUGAUAAUGGGUGCUUUAAUAAGAACCCUUGAUACUUUUGUUAUUGUAUUCAAUAUAUGCAUAUAAUACAACAGGAUGAUAUUGUUUUGGAUUUGGAAAUGUAUUCUUUCUUAUGCAAUCUUAUGCAGUCAUACUGCUUGAAUAUCAUUACCUGAAUUUAUCUUUCUUUUUUUUGUUGUUGUUGUUUUACACUCUACUUAUUUGGUGCCUGUCAGUCUUUUGUCAUCAGUUUAUAUUCUACUAAACUCAAAAAGACAAUCUCAUACCUUUUGUAAUUGUAGGCAUUCUUUACUAGAUUUUUAAAUACACUUCAAAAAUUCAAGUACUUUGAUUUCAUGCCAUCAAGUAGCUGAAUCUAUCCCCCCCUCUCUUUUUAAAUUUAAGUGAGUAGUUCAAUUUCUGUCACUUUCUACUUUGUGAAUUCUAAAUCUUUUAAAACCAUCUUGCCAUUUUUCGUGCACUUACCCUUACAGAAAACUCUGUGAAACACUACUUAUCUCUACUUUUAUGUUUUUAACUCCUUUUUUAUAUUACUAUUCCCUCUGCUUUCUAAAUGCACAUAUUAAUUUGUUCUUUUUAUUCUCUGUAGCUCUUCUCAGUAUAUGAAUUCAGUUUCCCAUCAGUCUCCAUACAAUUUUUAAAAAGUUGAGUAUUCUGUUAUUUUAAUAUGAUAUCUAGUGCCCAUAUAUUAAUUCUGCCUCUUAUUUUUAAAAUAAUUUUAUUGUUGAUUUAAAACGACAACAGUUUCAAUUCCCAGAAAGUGAAAGGAAACAAAGGAAUAAUAUUAUGGGCUUAAUUUUUAUCAGUGAACUUGUAGGUGAAGAAAAGAUUUGGGGAAGGAAAUGAACAUAUUAUAUUGCCAAAUAGUAAGGAACAAUCAGAUGUGUUUUCUAGUCUCUGGAAAAGCAUGUUUCAAGAAAUUCAAUGAAAAGUUCAUCAUGCUUGCUUAGAUUGUUGAGAAGCAAAAAUGCUGAUGAACAUUUGGAAGCAAUGAGAAUGUAAUUCUAAUCAUACUAUUUUAAUAAUGUUGCAAAACUCUCCAAACACUACUCUGUGUGGAUGUCUUUCAGAAUAUGAUGAAUACUAGUAGUCUUAUUCUGCCCUUUUCUCUCUAUCACAAUAUAUACAUUGUAUAUUGCAUACACAUAUUUUCCAAAUAUUACAUAUAAUUUCAUGUAAUUUAUAGACCUAUUAAGGCCCAACCAUUUUCUUGGAUAGGGGAUUCUUUAGAAGUCCAGCUUAAAUAAAGCCCUUAUAGAAAGUUUUUUUAAAAUUUAUACAUAAUCACCUAAAGUAACCUUAUCUACUGAACUCUUAGUACAUGCUAUCGGAACCUUUUAUCACAUUUCUUCCUGGCUUGCAUUACAACACUGUUGACAUAUCUCAGCCUUACUUCUAGGCUUCUUUGAGAGCAUGACUCAUGUUUGUAUUCCUCACUGAGGUUGAAUGAAUAAGAGAAACUACAGUAGUAGGAAAAAACAGUACAUGUAGAUAUCAAUGAAUAUGAAAGGGUCAAAUGGAUCUAUUAUAGUAAGCACAAAAUCAACUGACACCAGCAAAGUAAACCCAAAAUUUUUAAUGGUAUUUUAAUAGAUCAAGAGGAACAAGCAGAUUUUUGAGACAGUUGUCUCCUACUUUCUCUAUCACAGGGAGUAAUUUUAAAAGAAAAAUGGAGGGUAAGUUUCUUUAAGAGAAAAUUGUAGUUUAAAACAGGUCAUGGGAUAAUUAGAAAUAAUUUAAUUUCUUUAGAGGAUUUUAAUCUUUCAACUGCUUGCAAUUAGAUCCUAAGGCAAUAAAAGAAUAAGGAGAUUUGGAAAACCAUUGUCUGUAAUCUCUGAAGAAAAGUGGACAUUAGGGGAGUCAGUUGAAAAGCAAAGCUAUCACCAUUUUCUAAAGAGGAAAAAGGUGAACCUCACAAACUAUAGACCAAAAAAAUAGGACAUCGAGAGAAAGAAUAUGAAGCUAGCAUAGAUUCACAAAGAAUGAGUCAAAUCAAACAACAUGCAUUUUUUAUUUAUAAAGCAUGACUUGUUCAUUAUCAAUUCAUGUUAGCUUAAUCAUUAGGCAUUAAUGCCAUCACUGCAAUGCAUAUGUCAGCAAUAAAUAAUCAAAGACCAGGCUUCCAUCAUUCUGUUUAAUAUCUUCAAGUAAUGCUUAAGUUUGCAAAUGCUCUUUUAACACAUUCUCCAUAUGCAGCCUGCCCAGCACUGCACACAAUAGACCUGUUACUUCCCCCUCACGAGCACUCCUAAUAUUUCAUGUGCUCAUCCAAUUGACUUCUCCCACUGGUGCCUCAUAUUGAAUUUGUAGAAUCACACCUGCUCCUUUUUCAAAACUCUUCUGAGUUUUUUCUUAAAUAAUUCACUGACCCCAAAGUUGUCAGAUAUUUGAAGACUACUCGCACAAUUUUAAUAUUAUAAAUGUAUAAUGUAAAUGUAAUUAAGAUUUGUAUAAUGUACGAUGUACUUUGGUAAAUAAAAGUAUGCUGUGAAUAAAUACGUAUGAUACAAUUCAAAAUUUUACAUAAAUAUGUGAUAAAAUUUAGCUCAUAUUCUUUUUUUUUUUUUCUUUGAGACGGAGUCUCACUCUGUCGCACCCAGGCUGGAGUGCAGGAGCAUGAUCUCAGCUCACUGCAACCUCUACCUCCUGGGUUCAAACGAUUCUCCUGCCUCAGCCUCCUGAGUAGCUGGGAUUACAGGUGCCCACCACCAUGCCCAGCUAAUUUUUUUCUAUUUUUGUUGUUGUUGUUUUUAGUAGAGACGGGGUUUCACCAUUUUGGUCAGGCUGGUCUUGAACUCCUGACCUCAGAUAAUCCACCUGCCUCGGCCUCCCAAAGUUCUGGGAUUACAGACGUGAACCACCGUGCCCGGCCUAGUUCAUGUUCUUUAAGGACAAUUAUGAAUAUUUUUAUGCACUGUUAAUUUUCAUUAAGAUAUUGAUCAAUUAAUAGCUAUAUAUGUUCUAUAAAUUAAUCCUAUCUAGUUUCAAUCUUAAAUUGUUUGCAUAUACUAAUCUAGUUUAUUGUUUGCAUAUAUUUUAUAGUGUAGAGAUUAGGCAUUUUAAUAAAAUUUUAAAAUUUCCAGGACAUACUGUUAAUGACUAUGCUUCCUACUAUAGGCCAUAAUUAAUUUUUUUCUAUUGUCAACAAUAUUUUGGUAGGGAUGAUCAGGAAAUAAGGAAAUGUUUCCUUCAUUUGUUAACAAUAGGUGUUUGGGGAUUUUAAAAUGAAAAUUGAAGAAGUAAAAGACACCAUAUAUUUAGUUUGUUUGAUUUUGUGGCUUCAAGAGUUCAAUAAUUUAUUGAAAUAUUUUACAGACCAAAGAACAACAGAUAUAUUACGUUUAUAAGCCCCCACAUAUUUUAAAGGAUAAUGGUUUAUAUAUGAAAAUUCCCUGAACCUACACUUCAUCAGGAAAAGCUAAAUAAAAGAAGUUUACAUUUCCUAGGACUAAUGGAGAUUUAUUUCCCAGUCCUCUUCUCUGGAGACAAAUGUAGGUCUCUCUUGAAAAGCAGAAAGAUUUGCAUAUGAGGUAUGAUUUAGUGGACUAGAAACAUCUUUUCCACCCUCCCCAAAAUGUUUCACUAUGUUUUAUCAUACUAUCUGAUAAUUUUGCACUAAAGUUUUCUUUCUGUGUUAAGAAAAUGCAAAUAUCUCUGAAUGGGUCUCUUUGCUUUAGUCAUACUCAUAUGGCUACUACUGAACAAAAUAUGUUCAUUACAGGAUGAAGGGAAUGUUGCCAGCCAGCAAAUCCCUAGAGUCUGCACUACACCAAACGUUGCUUAGCAAUUUCCACGAUUUUCUCAGUCUAAUUUGCAAGAAUCAAGGAGAUGUUUGUGUAUGCUACAUGAAGUUGUAAAAUUGGUAUUUAUUGUAUGUUUCUAUAUUGAAAGCUUUACAAACAAAGGAAAUGGAAAGUUAACAGGUGGAUAUGAUAGUGUGGCACUACUUUAGCUGGAUGGUAAGGGAGAGCUUCUCUUAGGAAGUGUUUUAGGCCAGGACUUGAAUAAUGAACAGUAUCUAGUUGUACAAAAAUCUGGAGGAAAGACUUUUCAGGCCCAGGAGAAAUGAAAAUUCUUUUCAUGCAUACAAGAAUGAAAGUGAAAAUUACCUACUCUAUGUCCUGAAGUGGGAAGUUGGCUUGCCAGAGAGUAGGUAAUUUUCACUUUGAUUCUUUCAUGCCUUCAGUUAUACUACUUCUUAGGUUAGUUCAUAAGGGCUUCCACAAUUUGGUUCCCACUUAAAAUUUAAAACUUCCCUAACCCAUUCCCACCAUAUAUUGUGCUAAUCCAUGCAUAUGUGACUUGGCGUAUGCUGUUUUCAUUGUUUAAUAUUCUUCUCAUGCAUUCUUUCUUUCCUGAUAAUGAACUCAUCUUUGAAACUCCCCUUCAAGCAUCCUCUCCUUUAGGAGGCCGCUUCUCACUGUCUC